rnacentral:rRNA from 1 species
GAGCUUGCUCUCUGAUGGCGAGUGGCGAACGGGUGAGUAACAUAUCGGAACGUGCCUAGUAAUGGGGAACAACUAAUCGAAAGAUUAGCUAAUACCGCAUACGACCUACGGGUGAAAGCAGGGGAUCUUCGGACCUUGCGUUAUUAGAGCGGCCGAUAUCUGAUUAGCUUGUUGGUAGGGUAAAAGCCUACCAAGGCGACGAUCAGUAGCUGGUCUGAGAGGACGAUCAGCCACACUGGAACUGAGACACGGUCCAGACUCCUACGGGAGGCAGCAGUGGGGAAUUUUGGACAAUGGGGGCAACCCUGAUCCAGCCAUUCCGCGUGAGUGAAGAAGGCCUUCGGGUUGUAAAGCUCUUUCGCAAGAGAAGAAAGCUUGCUAUUUAAUAAAUAGUAAGUAUGACGGUAUCUUGACAAGAAGCACCGGCUAACUAUGUGCCAGCAGCCGCGGUAAUACAUAGGGUGCAAGCGUUAAUCGGAAUUACUGGGCGUAAAGCGUUCGCAGGCGGUUUUAUAAGUCAGAUGUGAAAUCCCCGAGCUCAACUUG